rnacentral:rRNA from 1 species
CCUACGGGUGGCUGCAGUGAGGAAUAUUGGUCAAUGGACGAGAGUCUGAACCAGCCAAGUAGCGUGCAGGAUGACUGCCCUAUGGGUUGUAAACCUCUUUUAUAUGGGAAUAAAAUGUUCCACGUGUGGGAUUUUGUAUGUCCCAUAUGAAUAAGGCUCGGCUAACUACGUGCCAGCCGCCGCGGUAAUACGGAGGAUCCGAGCGUUAUCCGGAUUUAUUGGGUUUAAAGGGAGCGUAGGUGGAUUCUUAAGUCAGUUGUGAAAGUUUGCGGCUCAACCGUAAAAUUGCAGUUGAAACUGGCAGUCUUGAGUACAGUAGAGGUGGGCGGAAUUCGUGGUGUAGCGGUGAAAUGCUUAGAUAUCACGAAGAACUCCGAUUGCGAAGGCAGUUCACUGGACUGCAACUGACACUGAGGCUCGAAAGUGUGGGGAUCAAACAGGAUUAGAUACCCUGGUAGUC